CACGGGGGGAGCAAGCGUUGUUCGGAAUCACUGGGCGUAAAGGGCGUGCAGGCGGUCAGGUAAGUGGGAUGUGAAAUGCCCCGGCUCACCCGGGGACCGGCAUCUCAUACUGCUUGGCUUGAGUACGGGAGAGGAUGUGGGAAUUCCUGGUGUAGCGGUGAAAUGCGUAGAUAUCAGGAGGAACACCGGUGGCGAAGGCGCACAUCUGGCCCGAUACUGACGCUGAGGCGCGAAAGCGUGGGGAGCAAACAGG
rnacentral:rRNA from 1 species